AUCUAAAGGACGUAAAAUGAAUGGUCUCAUUUUUGUUUUUCUAAGGGUCAAAGAAUUAGACCUAGGUUUCUCUCCCUGGGAUAGAAAACCCAAAGUUUGGAGUCCUAGCCGCCACCCCCUUUGGGGGAGGGUGACCUCCCUUUGCUCUCCCCCUCCCCUCCCACUCUCCCCGGCCUCUGCCUGGCCCCUCCCCUCUCCUCUCGCUCCGCUCCCCUUUUCUUUUCUUUUUUCCCGUCUUCUCUUUCCCUCCCUCCCUGAACUUUCCUACUCAUCCCUUUCCUUUACUGUUACUGUGGCUUUUUCUUUUCUUUUUGCUGGAGGUGUGAGGUUGGGUGUGGGUGGCUGCUUUGUUCUGCUCCUUUUCUGGAGUUACUGUGAGUUUGCCUCUGUGUUUCAGUGGCUGGGGUGUGUUGCCCCCUGUGGUUGCCGGCGGUUUUGUUUUGCUCUAUUUGUCUUCUUUUGCAGGUUUUAGUCCUGAUUCAGGCUGUCUUGCUUUCAGCUCUGUAAUCCGCUUCUAUUUGUGAUUUGGAGGCAUAAGAGUGACCAAGUGUGCUGUGCGGUUCUCUUCAGCCUUUUGUGCUGCUUGUCUUCAUUCCGUCUGGGGUGAUCGAUCAAGAUUCUCUUCUAGUUUCGACUUGUAAGAGUUUGUCCUGCUUUUUCUCCUCCUCGGAGGCUGAUCUUGGUGGGUUCGUGGUUCUCUGUUUGUUCCAUCGGCAGUCUGCGCCGUGGUGGCUCAUUUUUUGGUGCUCCUACCUAGAUCUAAGCCGGGGGCUGCCCUUCGGCCUGGUCGUUUUGGGUGAUCUCUGCUCUACCUGGAGUUGCUUGAGCUUGCUUCUCUUACUUGCUUUUUAGGCGUUUAGUGUCCUAUGCCGGAUUUUUCCAGGCUCGCGGUCUUUUUACCGCUCUUUCUCUGGCUUUCUGUGGCCAUGAUUGGAGUUCCCGAAGUUACCGGUGUUCUCCCCCUCUGGACUACUGUCCACACUAGCUCUCUCUGGCCUCCUAUGGCCAUGACUGGAGUUCCCGAGUUUAUCGGUGUCCUCCCCCUCUGGACUACUGUCCACUCUUGUAUCAACCCUAAAUGGGUAUCAGUUUCUGUCAUUGCUAUGGCCUUUUUGGCUC